AUUCUUUAUCAGUAUAUACGUUGACUACCAUGUCAGUAUUAACCAGCUAGCACUAUUAUAACAGUGCUUUUAUGUACUUUGUACAUUACUGCUAGUCCCCAUGAAUAUAUGGUA
rnacentral:ncRNA from 1 species